AUAUAUAUAUAUAUCAUGUUGAGAGCACCGGUUGUCGUCCGAUCACCGAAGUUAAGCAACGUCGAGCCUAGUGAGUACUUAGAUGGGUGACCGCUUGGGAAACCUAGGUGCAGUAAGUGUC
rnacentral:rRNA from 1 species